rnacentral:rRNA from 1 species
CCUACGGGAGGCAGCAGUGGGGAAUAUUGCACAAUGGGCGAAAGCCUGAUGCAGCAACGCCGCGUGAGCGAUGAAGGCCUUCGGGUCGUAAAGCUCUGUCCUCAAGGAAGAUAAUGACGGUACUUGAGGCGGAAGCCCCGGCUAACUACGUGCCAGCAGCCGCGGUAAUACGUAGGGGGCUAGCGUUAUCCGGAAUUACUGGGCGUAAAGGGUGCGUAGGUGGUUUCUUAAGUCAGAGGUGAAAGGCUACGGAUCAACCGUAGUCAGCAUUUGAAACUGGGAAACUUGAGUGUAGGAGAGGAGAGUGGAAUGCCUAGUGUAGCGGUGAAAUGCGUAGAUAUUAGGAGGAACACCAGUUGCGAAGGCGGCUCUCUGGACUGUAACUGACACUGAGGCACGAAAGCGUGGGGAGCAAACAGGAUUAGAUACCCUGGUAGUC